rnacentral:rRNA from 1 species
GACGAACGCUGGCGGCGUGCUUAACACAUGCAAGUCGAACGAUGAACUUGGAGCUUGCUCUGGGGGAUUAGUGGCGAACGGGUGAGUAACACGUGAGUAACCUGCCCUGGACUCUGGGAUAACUUCGAGAAAUCGGAGCUAAUACCGGAUAGGACCUUGCACCGCAUGGUGGGGGGUGGAAAGUUUUUCGGUUUGGGAUGGACUCGCGGCCUAUCAGCUUGUUGGUGAGGCAAUGGCUCACCAAGGCGUCGACGGGUAGCCGGCCUGAUAGGGUAACCGGCCACACGGUGACUGAGACACGGCCCAGACUCCUACGGGAGGCAGCAGGGGGGAAUAUUGCACAAUGGGCGCAAGCCUGAUGCAGCAACGCCGCGUGCGGGAUGACGGCCUUCGGGUUGUAAACCGCUUUUAGUAGGGAAGAAGCCUUCGGGUGACGGUACCUGCAGAAAAAGGACCGGCUAACUACGUGCCAGCCGCCGCAGUAACAC